rnacentral:rRNA from 1 species
AUUGAACGCUGGCGGCAUGCCUUACACAUGCAAGUCGAACGGCAGCACGGGGGCAACCCUGGUGGCGAGUGGCGAACGGGUGAGUAAUACAUCGGAACGUGCCUUGUAGUGGGGGAUAGCUCGGCGAAAGCCGGAUUAAUACCGCAUACGACCUACGGGUGAAAGCGGGGGAUCGCAAGACCUCGCGCUAUAGGAGCGGCCGAUGUCAGAUUAGGGUUGUUGGUGGGGUAAAGGCCCACCAAGCCGACGAUCUGUAGCUGGUCUGAGAGGACGACCAGCCACACUGGGACUGAGACACGGCCCAGACUCCUACGGGAGGCAGCAGUGGGGAAUUUUGGACAAUGGGCGCAAGCCUGAUCCAGCCAUGCCGCGUGCGGGAAGAA